AUGUGUUUCCUGCUGCAGCAAACUCCAGAUACUGUGAUAGAUCCAAGCUUUUCUAGGCUUGUGACUGAAUCUGACCAUAGGUGCAUCCUGCACAGGGAGAGGGCUGGCAAAUUUGUGGCAUUUGAAGGCACUAACACUGGCAGGAGAUUCAUAGGAUGUGCAACUGAGUUUCAGGAUGGUGUGAACUGUGGCGUUUUAGAGUGGGUAGAUGCCCCUUGGCCUGUAAUUUUGCAAAGGUGCUUAACCAAGCUCUGGGAUAUGUAUCAUGAGGAGAACCUUGGUAGAGUCCAAGACAAAGAGGCUCAUGAGAUAGAGGUUGAGAAACUGAAGAAGGAGCUGGAUUCUCUUGGCAAUCAGUACAGUCAGCUUGUGGAUGAUGUAUCCAAGCUGUUUGAUUACCAGGAUGGGUAG
rnacentral:rRNA from 1 species